rnacentral:rRNA from 1 species
CCAAUAGCGUAUAUUAAAGUUGUUGCAGUUAAAAAGCUCGUAGUUGAAUUUCGGGAUUGACAUGUUGGUCGUGCCUUAAGGGGUAUGAACUGACAUUGUUGAUUUCUCACCUUCUGGAGAAUCACGAUGCUCUUAAUUGGGUGUCGUGUGGAUCCAGGACCUUUACCUUGAAAAAAUUAGAGUGUUUAAAGCAGGCAUUUUUGCUCGAAUACAUUAGCAUGGAAUAAUAAAAUAGGACGGCUUGGUUCUAUUUUGUUGGUUUCUAGGAUCACCGUAAUGAUUAAUAGGGAUAGUUGGGGGCAUUAGUAUUCAAUUGUCAGAGGUGAAAUUCUUGGAUUUAUUGAAGACUAACUACUGCGAAAGCAUUUGCCAAGGAUGUUUUCAUUAAUCAAGAACGAAAGUUAGGGGAUCGAAGACGAUCAGAUACCGUCGUAGUCUUAACCAUAAACUAUGCCGACUAGGGAUCGGAUGAUGUUAUUUUUAAUGACUCAUUCGGCGCCUUACG